CAAUAAUAAUUAAAUUAUCAAUUUUGAGUGUAUUUUGCACGAUUAGUUAAUCAAGUGAUUUUAUAACUUCAAAAGUACUCAAAACGUGACACGAGCUUCCAAUAACAACGGAUUUUGUGUUUGAGCAAUGCCAAGAAAACGCAAAGGGGCUGAUUAGAGCCGCAGUACAAGUAAAGCUCGAAACUUGCGAAAUAGCAGAUCCGAAAGAACAGAAGAACAAAUCCAGCAACAAAAUACUGAUGCACGUGUCAGAAUAGCGCAAUUGCAUCAAGAAGAGCCAGAAGAUACACGAGCUGAACGCAAUGAAGUCAGAAGAUUAGAA